rnacentral:tRNA from 9 species
GGACCCGUAGCUCAGCUGGAUAGAGCGCUGCCCUCCGAAGGCAGAGGUCACAGGUUCGAAUCCUGUCGGGUCCGCCA